UACGAAGGGGGCUAGCGUUACUCGGAUUGACUGGGCGUAAAGGGCGCGUAGGCGGCUUGCACAGUCAGACGUGAAAUUCCUGGGCUCAACCUGGGGGCUGCGUUUGAUACGUGCGGGCUUGAGUUCGGAAGAGGGUCGUGGAAUUCCCAGUGUAGAGGUGAAAUUCGUAGAUAUUGGGAAGAACACCGGUGGCGAAGGCGGCGACCUGGUCCGAUACUGACGCUGAGGCGCGAAAGCGUGGGGAGCAAACAGG
rnacentral:rRNA from 1 species